CGUCGCGGGGGUGAUAGCCCCGCUGUCGCUGGCAGGACCUGGUCGCUUUGCUUCUGGGCUUUUCUGCCCAGCGCCCUGGCUCGUAGCCUCAGCUGCCCUCCGACUGGGCGGGCUUCGAGGACCGGCCACACCUCGGACGGUCGCGGCGGAACUCGAUUGAGCACCAACUACAUCCCUAAGAUAUGUUUGUCGGCACCGGAUCACAGGCUCCCCAUACUGGACUCAAGAAAGAAAUCAAUUGUCUAAGCCAGGGGAUUCCAGUCAACUGGUUAAGCUUAAGACAUGAUUAGUUCAAGCUACUGAUGGUCACACUCUUGAAAAUUUGUCUCUCUUUAAAUACCUUUCCCUAGUUCUUGCACAUGAGCUCUCAUUUAUUCCUCCUAUAACACCAUUUCUUUGUGAUAUAUUAAUAUAACUGAUUGUGUGCUCAAAUAAGUUUGGAAAAUAAUACUUGCUCUGUGUCAGGUGCUUUCAAAAAUGUUGAGCAAUAACAAUAUAUGUUUCAUAUAAUA